CAUGCUGUUACUCAUGGGCCCUUGGGGCAAGGUUCUGUUGGACUAUUUUUAAGUUAGGACAAUAACAUCCGUGAACAGAGCAGUAGCUGCUGUUGACCGCAGAUCCAUGGUAGUGACAUGGGUUCCUGUCCAAGAAGCGGCUUCUAGGACUACGUUCAUGGUUGAAGGAGAAGAGAGGCCGAGGCAAUGGUAAAGGAGCCCAAAGCCCAGAUUUUAGGAAUCUGAGGCCACAGAGUUGCAAAGCUGGAUAAUGGAGGAGCCCCCACUAGAACCCAAGUCUUCUGGAAUUUAGUUAUUCAGACUGGAUUCUGUUGCCAUGGACAAGCUAAGGGUGUUGCUCCACUAAUACAAAGGAAAAUAGGAGCUGUCUGCAAACCCACAUCAUAUCCCAGGGCCAUAAAGCAGGAGCAGUAACAAAUAUAAAUAGCCAGAGCAGCAAAAAAGUAGCGGAGUAUACCUCGGAGCGUACCUCCAUUUCCUCACCUGUGAAGUGGGGAUGAUAGUGGUAAUGCCUCACAGGCUGCUGGGAACAUAAAGCUCAUGGACACCACUCAGAACAGUACUUGGAACAUAGAUGCUGGGCCCAGCCUACCUAGUCAAGGAAGCUCUGUGGUUAUGAUUACCAGAGAAGAGAUGUAAAGUAGACCGAGAUGGACCAAAACACAUUUGUUUAGCUGCCUUUGUGUGCUCAGGUGAGCACCUUGCUUCUGCUCCACAGGGGGUGUGUCUUGGGCUUGUCUGCAUACAAGGGCAGCAACAGGCACCUGGAGUUCCUUAUGUAUCAGUGGGCCCAUGUGAAUGCCGGUGAGCUGCUGUUCAGAUAUGAACGAUGUCUUUCCGAAGAGCAUUAAGAAGUGACUGAACCACAAAUACACUGGAGGAAAGCUCCCAAAGGCUGUGAAAGAGAGGAAUCACCAGAAGGCUAAAUAAAUGAAUAGAGGAUGGAAAAAGCAAUGAGCGGAGACAAGAGAGUUCAUCUUCUUGGUGACUGUGUAAAUUGAGGUGUGCCUGGGAAGUAGAUGGACUGGAAUAAAGAAGGCGCCACCAUGGAUACUUGUUAAAAAUAUCAGUUUCAUGACUUCCCCUGAUCCUAGAGCAAAGUGUGAGGCAGCGCUGUCAGCCAUGGCAGGGUUUGUAUGAGGGUUAAAGUGCAUCUGGGAAACAAGGAUAAGGAGGGAGGCCAACUGAAGAUGCAAGUCCGCGUGCUCUGGCUCAUCUCUUUCUUCACACUCAUUGAGGGUUGGGAAGGCUUCCCGGGGAGAACUGAAGGCAUCAAAACAAAAAGAGGACUCAUUUUGAAUAAGAAAAAGCAUCCAGGCCCAGUCCGGGAGUAUGAGCUACUGCUUCAGGUGUCCUAUAGAGAUUCCAAGGAGAAAAGAGACCUGAAGAAUUUUCUGAAGCUUUUGAAGCCUCCAUCAUUAUGGUUACAUGCUCCAGUGAAGAUUAUUAGAGCAAAAGCCACUACACACUGUGGCAACCAGAAUGGGAGUUUGCAGUGUGCCUGUGAGGACGGCUACACCUGGUUUCCUCCCUCAUGCCUUGAUCCCCAGAAAUGCUACCUUCACACAGCUGGAGCACUCCAGAGCUGUCACUGUCAUGUCAACAACCUCAGUCAGAGCACCAAUUUCUGUGAGAGAACAAAGGUUUGGGGCACUUUCAAAAUUAAUGAAAGAUUUACCAAAGACCUUUUGAAUUCAUCUUCUCCUUCAUACUCCAAAUAUGCGACUGGAAUUGAAAUUCAACUUAAGGAGGCAUUCAAAAGAAUUCAAGAUUUUGAGUCAGUUCGUGUCACCCAAUUUCGUCCUUACAGAGAUGGAAGAAUCUUUGCUGGGUUUGAAGUUGUGAGUUCCAGCAGCACAUCUGAGCUGCUGUCAGCCAUUAAACAGGUGGCUAAGAAGGUGAAGGAAGGCCUUCACAAGCUGUUCCCACUAGAAGACAGCUCCUUCAGAGUAUUUGCAAAAGCCCAGUGUAACAGCAUUGUCUUUGGAUUUGGGUCCAGGAAUGAUGAGUUUACUCUUCCCUGUAGCAGUGGCUAUACUGGAAACAUUACGGUCAGAUGCCAGCCCUCUGGGUGGCAGGUCCUCAGGGAGAUGUGUGUGCACUCUCAGCUGGAAGAAUUGAAGAAGAAUCUCAGUGUGAUGGCAGGCCAUGCCACCGAGACAGCUGUGUCAUCCUUGGUGCGAAAUCUUUCCGUCGUCAUUCGGCAAAACCCAUCAACCACAGCUGGCAAUUUGGCUUCAGUAGUGUCAAUUCUGGACAGCGUCUUGUCCCUAUCACUGGCAAGCCAUUUCAAGGUGUCCAAUUCAACAAUGGAGGAUGUCAUCAGUAUAGCUGACCACAUCCUCAGUUCAGCAUCAGUAACCAACUGGACCGUGUUACUGCAGGAAGAACAGCAAGCCAGCUCGAGGUUUCUGAAGACACUAGAAAACAUCAGUAGCCUCGUACCUCCAACAGCUCUGCCUCUGAAUUUUUCUCGGGAAUUUAUUGACUGGAAAGGGAUUCCGGUGUCUGCAAGCCAACUUAAGAUGGGUUACAACUAUCAGACGGAACUGUUCCCCACAAAUGCCUCCAUUCCUGUCAAAGGCCAUGUGUUGAUUGGGUCAGACCAAUUCCGGUGGUCUCUUCCAGAAACAAUUAUCAGCAUGGCCUCGUUGACCCUGGGGAAUAUUCUAUCUACUACUCAAAAUGGAAAUGCUCAGGUCAAUGGGCCCAUGAUAUCCACGGUUAUCCAAAAUUAUUCCAUAAAUGAGAUUUUCCUGACUUUUUCCAAGAUAGAGUCAAAUCUGAGCCAACCUCAUUGUGUGUUUUGGGAUUUCAGUCGUUUGCAGUGGAACAAUGCGGGCUGCCACCUAGUGAACGAAACAGCAGACACGGUGAUGUGCCGAUGUACUCACCUGACCUCCUUCUCCAUACUGAUGUCACCCUUUGUCCCUCCUGCCAUCAUCCCCGUGGUGAAAUGGAUCACCUUUGUGGGACUGGGCAUCUCCAUUGGAAGUCUCACCUUAUGCCUAAUCAUUGAAGCUCUAUUUUGGAAGCAGGUCAAGAAAAACCAAACCUCCUACACACGUCACGUUUGCAUGGUGAAUGUAGCCCUGUGCCUCCUGAUUGCUGAUGUUUGGUUUAUUGUUGCUGCCACUGAAGGUUCCACCGUAAACCUUUCUGGAGUCUGCAUAGCUGCAGUGUUCUUUAUGCACUUUUUCUACCUCUCUUUGUUCUUUUGGAUGCUCAUGCUUGGCAUCCUCCUGGCUUAUCGGAUCCUCCUUGUGUUCCAUCACAUGGCCAUGCCUUUGAUGAUGGCUGUCGGGUUCUGCCUGGGGUAUGGGUGCCCUCUCAUUAUAUCUGUCAUCACGAUUGCAGUCACCCAGCCUAGCAAUGCCUACAAAAGGAAAGAUGCGUGUUGGCUUAACUGGUCUGAUAGGAGCAAACCCUUACUGGCCUUUGCUGUUCCCGCACUGACUAUUGUGGCUGUGAAUUUGGCUGUGGUGCUAGUAGUUCUCACGAAGCUCUGGAGGCCCACUGUUGGAGAAAGACCGGGUCAGGAAAACAAGGCCACUAUUGUCCGCAUGGGGAAGAGCCUCCUCAUCCUGACCCCUCUGCUGGGGCUCACCUGGGGCUUUGGCAUAGGAACAAUAGUGGACAACCAGAAUCUGGCUUGGCAUGUUAUUUUUGCAUUACUCAAUGCAUUCCAGGGUUUUUUCAUCUUAUGUUUUGGAAUGCUCUUGGACAGUAAGCUGCGACAAUUGCUGUUCAACAAAUUAUCUCCUUUCAGCUCUUGGAAGCAAGCAUCAAAGCAAGACUCAUCAGAUGUAUCUGCCAAACCCAAAUUCCCAAAGCCUUUCAACCCAUUGCAGAACAAAGGUAACAUGCUGAGAGAAGAGAAAUUUAUCACCAAAGAGGACCAGCCCAAGUGGGUUUGGCAGGACCUUAUCUUGCUGGGUAGGAAUCAGAGAUAAAGCAUUGCCAACAGCUACAUUUAUGCCAACCAGAUGGGAGGCAACACCCCUUUGGAAUUCUGACCUGAUGCUUGAAACCAGAGCAGAGGAGUACCCCAGUGUGAUGUGCUGCCAAGGGAUACAUUGCUUUUAUGGAUAAGGUUUCCUGGUUCUUAGAUGUCAGCCAUGUCCCCAAACAGGGCAUGAGCAAGGCAGUUGUGAAUUCCAUGACAAUGUUCUGCUGGGCACUGCCAAGGACAACUCUUUGAGGCAUGAAAGCUUUGCCGGGCCCUGGUGAUAAUUGGGAAAAUAAACUCCAACUUUUAAGAGUAUGAAGGUCAGUGCAUAGGGAUUUAAUCAAACAAAAUAUUCAUACUGGGACAUUCUAUGUGGAUGGCUUAGAAAACACUUGUUUAAAAGAGGCGGAAACCAGGAAGACCAUGAAAGAGAGGAACCCAUUAUGCAUAUUUUUUUCUUGCUCAUUAUCCUAUAGAAAAAUUUAAUGACCCUUGAUUUGUCAGAAGAAAAAAAAACCAAAAAGAGCUUUUGAAAAGAAGAAUACUGAAGAGUUCAAACCAGAAGAAAGUACUAAUUAUUCUACUUUGUUAAUGUAAAACAGACUUCAAAGUUAUCAAAAAGCAUUACUGUAACUUCUAGUUAGGACUUCUAAUGUGCGAUGCUCUCAGUUUUCCAAAUUACAAGAUUUUUCUAGCUUGUCUCUCCCUCUGCUUUUGUGUUUUUCUUUAAGGAAGGCCAGCCUGCAGCCUCAGAUAUCGUUCUCUGGG